UUUGAUAAGCCAACAAAAAAAAAGAACUCCAAACCCUCACCUAGAAGCCUCCAUGGCCGAUGCAACACUACCACUCCCACCUUCACCAAAUUCUCACCAAAGCUUACAAAUUUUGAAGACAAAUCAUUUAUUGGUAAAAGGUGUAUAGUAUCGGAUGUAACGAACUUCUAUCCUUGUUCCAGAAGUCCGAGAGUACAGAAAGAAGGAAUCAAUUAGUAGUGCUGCAGUAGUCGAGUCCUAGAGUGUAAUUAUGUUUUGUCAAACGAUUUUAAAUAUUUUGUUUAUACUCUGAUAUGUAUAAAGGUUUUAGACUGCGCUUUUAAACCGUUUAUAUAUAUGUGAGAAACAGGACAUUUCUUGAUAUGAGAUAUCGCUUUGUAAGAGCCUGAUUUCUAAAGAUCAUUUUGUAUCGUUUAAAGAAGUUUUAUAAAAACGUUUUGUGAA